rnacentral:rRNA from 1 species
CGUGCACGCCCGAGCGUGUCCUCUCACAUAAUAAUCCAUCUCACCCUUUGUGCAUCGCCGCGUGGGCACCCUUUGGGAUCAUCUCGGAGGGGGCUCGCGUUUUCACACAAACCCCCCUUUUAAAAGUGUAGAAUGWCCUCAUUUAUGCGCUAACCCGCAAUCAAUACAACUUUCAACAACGGAUCUCUUGGCUCUCGCAUCGAUGAAGAACGCAGCGAAAUGCGAUACGUAAUGUGAAUUGCAGAAUUCAGUGAAUCAUCGAAUCUUUGAACGCACCUUGCGCCCCUUGGUAUUCCGAGGGGCACACCCGUUUGAGUGUCGUGAAAACCUCAACCUCCUUGGUUUCUUCUGGAGACCAAAGCAGGCUUGGACUUUGGAGGCCUUUGCUGGCACCUCUCUGUCAGCUCCUCUUAAAUGAAUUAGCAGGGUCCUCUUUGCUGAUCCUUGACGUGUGAUAAGAUGUUUCCAUGUCUUGGUUUCUGGCUCUGUCACUUUUGGGACCCGCUUCUAACCGUCUUGACCUUGCGUCGAGACAAUGUUCGAGCACGUCUCCCUUCUCGGGAAGCUCCCUCGACCCCACGAACCCUUGACCUCAAAUCGGGUGAGACUACCCGCUGAACUUAAGCAUAUCA